AGGAGUUUGAUCCUGGCUCAGAGUGAACGCUGGCGGCAGGCCUAAUACAUGCAAGUCGAACGGCAGCACAGCAGAGCUUGCUCUGUGGGUGGCGAGUGGCGGACGGGUGAGGAGUACAUGGGAAUCUGCCCAGUCGUGGGGGAUAACGUAGGGAAACUUACGCUAAUACCGCAUGCGCCCUUCGGGGGAAAGCCGGGGACCUUCGGGCCUGGCGCGAUUGGAUGACCCCAUGUCGGAUUAGCUAGUUGGCGGGGUAAAGGCCCACCAAGGCGACGAUCCGUAGCUGGUCUGAGAGGAUGAUCAGCCACACUGGAACUGAGACACGGUCCAGACUCCUACGGGAGGCAGCAGUAGGGAAUAUUGGACAAUGGGCGCAAGCCUGAUCCAGCCAUGCCGCGUGAGUGAAGAAGGCCCUCGGGUUGUAAAGCUCUUUUGUCCGGAAAGAAAAGCGCCGGGUUAAUACCCUGGUGUCCUGACGGUACCGGAAGAAUAAGCACCGGCUAACUUCGUGCCAGCAGCCGCGGUAAUACGAAGGGUGCAAGCGUUACUCGGAAUUACUGGGCGUAAAGCGUGCGUAGGGUGGUUUGUUAAGUCUGAUGUGAAAGCCCUGGGCUCAACCUGGGAAUUGCAUUGGAUACUGGCAGGCUAGAGUGCGGUAGAGGGUAGUGUAUUUCCCGGUGUAGCAGUGAAAUGCGUAGAGAUCGGGAGGAACAUCUGUGGCGAAGGCGACUACCUGCACCAGCACUGACACUGAGCACGAAAGCGUGGAGGAGCAACAAGGAUUAGAUACCCUGUACUCCACGCCCUAAACGAUGCGAACUGGAUGUGGGCUCAACUAGCAGCUCAGUAUCGAAGCUACGCGUAGUUCGCCGGCUUGAAGAAGUACGUCGCAGACUGGAUACUCGAAGUACUGACGGCGUCCGCACAAGUCGGAUGAAGUUAUGGUGGUUUUUAUCUUC
rnacentral:rRNA from 1 species